UCAUAGUUGGUGAUUUUUUGAGGUUAAAAAGAGUUCCCGUUCCGAGUAGAAUAGCAAACCGCAGGGAAAUUGAGGGCCAUCAAUUAGAUAUAAGAACUCGGUCAUCGGAGCGCCAUCAAUUAGAUAUAAGAACUCGGUCAUCGGAGCGCCAUCAAUCGGAGACAAGAACUCGGUCUUUGG